ACAUUGGGCAGCACUGUGUUCAGUGUGUAUAACAGUACCAUGUGGCACAUAUUAAAUCCUUAAAGUGGAAGCUUGAAUAUUUAAAAAGCCUUAGGAGUCUACAGAAAUUCUUAAAAAGUAUUUAUUUAUUUACUUGGCUGUGCCGGAUCUUUGUUGCAGCAGGCAGGAUUUUUAGGGAAGUCCUAGUCUCUUCAUAAAUUUAUCACAGAUUUUUUGCAGGACAAACUAUAUAAAACAGACAGAAUUAGCUGAUUCUGUGAAUAAGUUCCAUAGUCGUCAUUUUCAUCGAACUUGGAAAGAAAAUUAUUUUAAGGCUACAGAAAGAACAGUUUUACUUAAACCAGGACCCAGGACCCUUUCUUCCUUUUAGGUAAACAUGCAAGGCCCGAGUCAGGAGAGCCGACAGGGCCCCACGGGGCAGUCUUUGAGAGGGUGUGGGCUAGCCCUGUGUUGAAGGCCUGCACAGGACUGCAGUCGCAGUAGGAGGCAGGAAGGCUGCUGGCGGGAGGGCAGCAGUUGCGGGGCAGAGGCCAGGUGCAGUGGGGCGACUGGUCUUGGGGACAAUGGGACCAAGCUAGCCAAGGCUGUCAAAAAAGCAGGCAAAUCAGUAGUUGCCAAAUACCCUUUUCCUUCUCUCUAGACAUGUCAGAGGACACUCUUCCUGGUUGGUGCGUUUGCCACAGCAGCAGGUAGAGGGACAGUCCAGAAGACCCUGUGGUAACAGCCCACCCUCCCAGGAAGAAUGGAGGAGGAUAAAGAAUGAGGAAAACACAGACACAAAACAAGAGAAGUCAGAAGCCACGGUGUCUGCACUGGACAAACAUCAUCUUUGCUGGACAUAAAAAAGGGAAAACCCGCAACUAUGGCUUAUUUACAACUGGAAGAAGAAAUGAAGUUGUCAACAGAGGGAACUUACACUGAAACGAAAGUGACUUUCUGUGUACCCCAAGAAGCAGACCGGCACCAAGAGGUGGAAGCUAGUAGCAGGUAUGCAGGUGUCGCUCAGAACAGAGCCUGGUCUCAGCAGUGAGGGCCGGCGCGAGCGCGGACAGGGCGCUCUCAGGCCCGGGUGGGGAAGCUGGACUCCGAGCCCCUCUGCCGGACCUGCCCGCCGGCUCCGCCAGGAAGUCGGCCCCGCACGGGGGCACGCGAGCGCGGAGCACGCGAUCUCGCGGGACGCAAGCCGCCCUGCCCGAGAGGGACGCGUCCGCAGAGGACACGGCAGGGCCGGAGGCGCCCCCGGCCCGGCGGCGAGCGAGCGAGCAAGCGGGCG
ensembl:lncRNA